rnacentral:rRNA from 1 species
GAUGAACGCUGGCGGCGUGCCUAAUACAUGCAAGUCGAGCGAACAGACGAGGAGCUUGCUCCUCUGACGUUAGCGGCGGACGGGUGAGUAACACGUGGAUAACCUACCUAUAAGACUGGGAUAACUUCGGGAAACCGGAGCUAAUACCGGAUAAUAUAUUGAACCGCAUGGUUCAAUAGUGAAAGACGGUUUUGCUGUCACUUAUAGAUGGAUCCGCGCCGCAUUAGCUAGUUGGUAAGGUAACGGCUUACCAAGGCAACGAUGCGUAGCCGACCUGAGAGGGUGGAUCGGCAACCCGGGAACUAGGCAGCGGACCCGCCCCCACGGGGGGGCAGAAUGGGGAAUUCUUCCGGAAGGGGGGAAGGCUUAACGGGGCACCGCGGGGGGGGGAAGAAAGGUCUUCGGUUCGAAAAACCUUUUUUUUGGGAAAAAAAAAAUUUGAAAAAAACUAUGCCCGUCUGAAGGGAACCAAAUAAGAAGGCCCGGGUUAACUAGGU